CGCGUAGGCGGUUUGGUCAGUUGGAUGUGAAAGCCCAGGGCUUAACCUUGGAACUGCAUUCAAUACUGCCAGGCUAGAGUACGGUAGAGGGGGGUAGAAUUCCACGUUUAGCGGUGAAAUGCGUAGAGAUGUGGAGGAAUACCAGUGGCGAAGGCGGCCCCCUGGAUCGAUACUGACGCUGAGGUGCGAAAGCGUGGGGAGCAAACA
rnacentral:rRNA from 1 species